CCUACGGGUGGCAGCAGUGAGGAAUAUUGGUCAAUGGACGAGAGUCUGAACCAGCCAAGUAGCGUGAAGGAUGACUGCCCUAUGGGUUGUAAACUUCUUUUAUAUGGGAAUAAAACGUUCCACGUGUGGGAUUUUGUAUGUACCAUAUGAAUAAGGAUCGGCUAACUCCGUGCCAGCAGCCGCGGUAAUACGGAGGAUCCGAGCGUUAUCCGGAUUUAUUGGGUUUAAAGGGAGCGUAGGUGGAUUGUUAAGUCAGUUGUGAAAGUUUGCGGCUCAACCGUAAAAUUGCAUUUGAAACUGGCGGUCUUGAGUGGGCGAGAAGUAUGCGGAAUGCGUGGUGUAGCGGUGAAAUGCAUAGAGAUCACGCAGAACUCCGAUUGCGAAGGCAGCAUACCGGCGCACAACUGACGCUGAAGCACGAAAGCGUGGGUAUCGAACAGGAUUAGAUACCCGAGUAGUC
rnacentral:rRNA from 1 species